GACGAACGCUGGCGGCGUGCCUAAUACAUGCAAGUAGAACGCUGAAGAGAGGAGCUUGCUCUUCUUGGAUGAGUUGCGAACGGGUGAGUAACGCGUAGGUAACCUGCCUUGUAGCGGGGGAUAACUAUUGGAAACGAUAGCUAAUACCGCAUAACAAUGGAUGACACAUGUCAUUUAUUUGAAAGGGGCAAUUGCUCCACUACAAGAUGGACCUGCGUUGUAUUAGCUAGUAGGUGAGGUAAUGGCUCACCUAGGCGACGAUACAUAGCCGACCUGAGAGGGUGAUCGGCCACACUGGGAAUGAGACACGGCCCAGACUCCUACGGGAGGCAGCAGUAGGGAAUCUUCGGCAAUGGGGGCAACCCUGACCGAGCAACGCCGCGUGAGUGAAGAAGGUUUUCGGAUCGUAAAGCUCUGUUGUAAGUCAAGAAAGGGUGUGAGAGUGGAAAGUUCACACUGUGACGGUAGCUUACCAGAAAGGGACGGCUAACUACGUG
rnacentral:rRNA from 1 species